AACCUGCACAACUUUUACAGGUGAAAUUGGACAUGUCGGAAGGCCUUCAUGAAGAGCAAAAAGCUGUUUAUUUUGAGAUUUUUGGAAAAAUUCCGUUUUAUUGCGGUGAUACUGGAAAAGUCUCAGAC
rnacentral:ribozyme from 1 species